CAUACAUUGCAUUAUUUGUUGUUUGGGCCCGAUUUAAUUAUUCCAGUACUUUGAAUCCCCAUUUGACAAAAUGUACCCCACUUCCCCGAUGUGUAAUAAUUUUACUGCUUUUCAUUUCUUUAUUGCUUGACUGUUUAGUUAGCCACUAACACAAGAAUAAAAUCAACCAUUUCCAAAAUAUCAAAAAAAUAAGACUCGAUCCAACGUCGAGUAUUUUCUCAAUAAACAAUUCAAUCCAUUUCUUCCUCCCAUUCCAUUUCAUUUCUUUCAAACCUUC
rnacentral:lncRNA from 1 species